rnacentral:rRNA from 1 species
GUGGGGAAUAUUGGACAAUGGGCGAAAGCCUGAUCCAGCCAUGCCGCGUGUGUGAAGAAGGUCUUCGGAUUGUAAAGCACUUUAAGUUGGGAGGAAGGGCAGUAAGUUAAUACCUUGCUGUUUUGACGUUACCGACAGAAUAAGCACCGGCUAACUUCGUGCCAGCAGCCGCGGUAAUACGAAGGGUGCAAGCGUUAAUCGGAAUUACUGGGCGUAAAGCGCGCGUAGGUGGUUUUGUAAGUUGGAGGUGAAAUCCCCGGGCUCAACCUGGGAACUGCCUCCAAAACUGCAUGACUAGAGUACGGUAGAGGGUAGUGGAAUUUCCUGUGUAGCGGUGAAAUGCGUAGAUAUAGGAAGGAACACCAGUGGCGAAGGCGACUACCUGGACUGAUACUGACACUGAGGUGCGAAAGCGUGGGGAGCAAACAGGAUUAGAACCCCGUGUAGUCC